rnacentral:rRNA from 1 species
GACAGAGGUGCCAAGCGUUAGGCGGAAUCACUGGGCUUAAAGCGUGUGUAGGCGGAGCGUUAAGUGCCUUGUGAAAUCCCGCGGCUCAACCGCGGAACUGCUGGGCAUACUGGCGUUCUUGAGCCAAUCAGGGGUCGCCGGAACAAACGGUGGAGCGGUGAAAUGCGUAGAUAUCGUUUGGAACGCCGAAGGCGAAAGCAGGCGACUGGGAUUGCGCUGACGCUGAGACACGAAAGCCAGGGGAGCGAACGGGAUUAGAAACCCCCGUAGUCC